AUGGACAUGACAAUGAAGUACUUUGAGAGGAGGAAGGUCGAGAAUACAAAGCUUUUCUUUGCGAAGCAAAAAGAUCCUUCCACGAACUCUGUCACUGCAUUGUUUUGGAUUGAUGGGAGGACAAGGGCGUUGUACCCGAAAUAUAAAGAUUGUGUGUUCUUUGACACAACUUUUUGCACCAACAGAUACAAUAUGCCCUUUUGUCCUAUAGUUGGUAUCAACAACCACCUCCAAACCAUUUCACUCGGGUGUGCUUUGUUGCCGGAUGAGACUAUUGAAACGUUUAAGUGGGUCUUUGAGCAAUGGAUGGUUGCAAUGGACAAUGAGCAUCCAAAGAACAUAAUGACUGACCAGGACCAAGCAAUGGCAACAACUAUAGAGCAGGUGCUCCCAAAUACUUGCCAUAGGUGUUGCAAGUUUCAUGUGUUUAGCAACGUGCGUUCUAAGUUGGGGAGGCUGCUGAGCAGAGAUGAGGCGUUUGCAGAUAUGUUUUACACUUGUAUCAACAACUCUAAAACGGUUGAAGAAUUUGAGGAAACAUGGCAGCACAUGUUGUAG
rnacentral:rRNA from 1 species